AGGGGGUUACAGCUCUGCAACUUAGGAUGUGUACACACCUGCAGGGCAUUACCAGCGCUGCAACUCCCUGUUUGCAGCGCUGGCCGUACACCCGAUCGUGCCUCGGGUGUAGAAGAUCCAGCGCUGGAUCACCAGCACUGGUCAUCAGGUGUAGACACUCACCAGCGUUUUUGUUGACCUCCGUGGAAUAAGCAGGUAUCCCAGCAUACCUGAGGAAGCCUCUCUGGUAAUCAAGCAAACUCCACUGCCCUCCAAGCAGGUCUCCUUCCCCGCGGUGUGCUCUGGCGUUCCCCGACCCCCCCUCCAAGCAGGUCUCCUUCCCCGCGGUGUGCUCUGGCGUUCCCCGACCCCCCCUCCAAACAGGUCUCCUUCCCCGCGGUGUGCUCUGGCGUUCCCCGACCCCCCCUCCAAGCAGGUCUCCUUCCCCGCGGUGUGCUCUGGCGUUCCCCGACCCCCCCUCCAAGCAGGUAUCCAGCCCCGCGGUGUGCUCUGGCAUUCCCCAACCCCCCCUCCAAGCAGGUCUCCUUCCCCGCGGUGUGCAACAGCGCUGCAGCGUGGCCACAUCUAACACCACUUGCAGCGCUGGUUGCUGUAAGUGUGGCCACUCUGCAGCACUGGCCCUAUACAGCUGUACUAAUACAGCUGUAACAA